UCUGAUCAAGAGCUCUAAGUUGGAACCUUUGUUUCAUACCUGAGCCAUUUUGAUCUAGAUUAGCAUUCGGGGACCCUCCAAGUUCAUGGAACUUCAUAACGUGCCGUUUGAUAUCCCGUGAUCUCUAGCAUUAUCUGGUUAUUACACAAGGAAUUCAAAGCAAUCUCAGGAGCUAUUCCAUAGGAUGAUGAUCAUGACACUAGGGCGGACCUGUGCCUUAGAGACUAAAACUGAAGAUAGACUUAGUUAAUUAUGUUAUAAACUCUUUGUUUUUCUUGUUUAAGACAAUGUAUCACUCUUGUUUAAUAAAUAAAAUGUAACUUUGAUUUCCAUGGUUAU
rnacentral:lncRNA from 1 species